rfam:Candidatus Nomurabacteria bacterium RIFCSPLOWO2_12_FTLL_37_8 rifcsplowo2_12_scaffold_33282, whole genome shotgun sequence.
GGAAGGGUGUACCGAAUGGUAAGGUACUCGCUUGGAAAGCGAGCGAGCGAAAGCUCUUGCAGGUUCGACUCCUGUCCCUUCCG